rnacentral:sRNA from 1 species
UUCCUUUGCUUCUCCUUCCUUGGCAAUUCAUAAAGGGUUCAGUGGGUGCAGACUCCCAAAUGUCAACCUGAAUUCAUUUCUAUUUUAGAGUGUAUUAUAUAUCUUAACAUACUUUCAUAUGUAUUUAUAUGAAAACCACCAACCACCUUGAAGGUUGUCCCUAUAUUAUGGCUAAGAAAAUAGAGAGACUCCUUAAGUGGCCUGUCCAAGUUCCUACCCAAGACCACAGGUAACCCCUUGGUCCCAAGCCCUAAGACCUCCCUGGCAAAGAAAUGUCUAGGAUGAAGCCUUAGUCACCAUAAAAAGGUAUGUUCUGUUAGUCUGUGUGCCGCGAGAACCCAAAGUCGCCCUGACUGUUUCUGUUUCCCAAUCUCAGGUGCCAUCCAAGUGCCUUGUCUCUUCUUCUGGAGCUUCAAUGGGCUUCUAUUGGUGGUUGACAUAACAGGAAAACCUAACUUCAUCUCUCGCUACCGAAUUCAGGUCGGCAAGAAUGAACCUGUGGAUCCUGUGAAACUGCGCCAGUCUAUCCGCACAGUUCUUUUCAACCAGUGCAUGAUAUCUUUCCCCAUGGUGGUCUUCCUCUAUCC